AUCUGUAAAGUCAUGUGACUCAUCACAGCAUCAGAAUAGACAAGAAUUCACUGUGAGCUUCACAUCUCAUUACAGCUAAUGGACCAAUCAAAUCAGUCCACAGCUUCAAAACAUCCAAUCAGGCGUGAGUCUGGACCUGGUUUUCUACUGAACACACAAGUUCAUUACCUCACUAUCACUUUGUCUAAACAGGAACGAUGAUCACACUCUUUGUGGCUCUUUACUCUCUGCUUUGUCUCUGCACAACUGGAAACACUUCUGACAUCAAGGAGCCUCACGUAAAAACAGUAAAGCUGGGAGAAAAUGUAACAAUGGAGUGUAACGUUAGUGGGAAUAAAGAUAAUGUAUUUUGGUACAGACAGAGAUUCGGAGAAAUGCCUCAGUUUAUGGCGAGAACAUACAAUAACCCUCAGGGCUACACAUUUGCAGAGGAAUUUAAUGAUAGACGCUUCAGUGUUUCUGUAAAUGGCAGUAAAUUUGAUCUCAACAUUAAUGGAACAAAUAAAAGUGACAGAGGAGACUAUCUCUGUGUAAAUCUUGACGGAACUACACCAAAGUUCACAUCUGGAACACGUCUGCAGUUUGAAGGUGAAGAGAUGAAACCCUGUCCUACACCUGGAACACUUAACAAGAACACACACUCUGUUACACACCAGGGUUCAAACAGCAGAGAUGGAGAAGGUUACAGCUCUACUGAUCAGAUGCGUGUGCUGUUCUGGCUCUCUGUUUCUAGAGUUGGAGUUCUUGUCUUCAUUAUUUUUCCAACAACGCUGAUUGUUUACAAAUUAAAAUACAAAUUUUCAUAAAAU